CAAACAUUUGGCCCGGUGUGGCGUGGGAAGUAGCCAGAAGGAAGAAGAACAGCGAGAAAAUGGCACUCACUGUGCAAGUGUGUGUGCGAGAAAGCCUUCCUCCUUAUGUCAAAUAUAUGAACGUGGAAAUUUCCCUGACUGCUCUGAAACGGCUUUUACUUUGCUGUUUUGUCUUGUUAUUGUUAGGUUUUUUUCUUACUUCUCUCUUAACUGUCAAAUGUGUACUACACUUACAGGACCUGAAGAACAGACUAUUCCUCCCAGGUUACAACAGAGAACAACUUGGGUGAUCAAUCAGGAGCAGGAUGGCUCAAAUAAGCCACUUUCUUUUCCUGAGAAAAGGUGUGGCAAGCUGUGAUGAGGCUCCAAUGUGUGUGUGUGUGUGUGUGUUUUCCAUUCAGAGACUUGGACCUGCUUGAAUACAAUUUGUAAACCUUUCAA